rnacentral:rRNA from 1 species
GUGGGGAAUAUUGGACAAUGGGCGAAAGCCUGAUCCAGCCAUGCCGCGUGUGUGAAGAAGGUCUUCGGAUUGUAAAGCACUUUAAGUUGGGAGGAAGGGCAGUAAGUUAAUACCUUGCUGUUUUGACGUUACCAACAGAAUAAGCACCGGCUAACUUCGUGCCAGCAGCCGCGGUAAUACGAAGGGUGCAAGCGUUAAUCGGAAUUACUGGGCGUAAAGCGCGCGUAGGUGGUUCAGCAAGUUGGAGGUGAAAUCCCCGGGCUCAACCUGGGAACUGCCUCCGAAACUGCAUGACUAGAGUACGGUAGAGGGUAGUGGAAUUUCCUGUGUAGCGGUGAAAUGCGUAGAUAUAGGAAGGAACACCAGUGGCGAAGGCGACUACCUGGACUGAUACUGACACUGAGGUGCGAAAGCGUGGGGAGCAAACAGGAUUAGAAACCCGAGUAGUCC